rnacentral:rRNA from 1 species
UGAGGAAUAUUGGUCAAUGGAGGCAACUCUGAACCAGCCAUCCCGCGUGCAGGAUGACGGCCCUAUGGGUUGUAAACUGCUUUUCUACGCCAAGAAUGGUUGCUACGAGUAGUGAUUUGACGGUAGCGUAGGAAUAAGCAUCGGCUAACUCCGUGCCAGCAGCCGCGGUAAUACGGAGGAUGCAAGCGUUAUCCGGAUUCAUUGGGUUUAAAGGGUGCGCAGGCGGAUAUGUAAGUCAGUGGUGAAAUCCUGCCGCUUAACGGUAGAAUUGCCAUUGAAACUGCAUUAUCUUGAGUAUGGUUGAGGUAGGCGGAAUGUGUAGUGUAGCGGUGAAAUGCAUAGAUAUUACACAGAACACCGAUUGCGAAGGCAGCUUACUAAGCCAUAACUGACGCUGAGGCACGAAAGCGUGGGGAGCGAACA